GAUGAACGCUGGCGGCGUGCCUAAUACAUGCAAGUCGAGCGAACCACUUCGGUGGUGAGCGGCGAACGGGUGAGUAACACGUAGGUGAUCUGCCCAUCAGACGGGGACAACGAUUGGCAACGAUCGCUAAUACCGGAUAGGACGAAAGUUUAAAGGUGCUUCUGGCCCCGCUGAUGGAUGAGCCUGCGGCGCAUUAGCUAGUUGGUAGGGUAAAGGCCUACCAAGGCGACGAUGCGUAGCCGACCUGAGAGGGUGAACGGCCACACUGGGACUGAGACACGGCCCAGACUCCUACGGGAGGCAGCAGUAGGGAAUCUUCGGCAAUGGGCGAAAGCCUGACCGAGCAACGCCGCGUGAAUGAUGAAGGCCUUCGGGUUGUAAAAUUCUGUUAUAAGGGAAGAACGACUUUAGUAGGAAAUGGCUAGAGUGUGACGGUACCUUAUGAGAAAGCCACGGCUAACUACGUGCCAGCAGCCGCGGUAA
rnacentral:rRNA from 1 species